CUCGUGUCGUGAGAUGUUGGGUUAAGUCCCGCAACGAGCGCAACCCUGCAUUCAGUUGCCAUCGGGUAAUGCCGGGCACUCUGGAAGGACUGCCAUCGACAAGAUGGAGGAAGGUGGGGAGUGACGUCAAGUCAUCAUGGCCCUUAUGUCCAGGGCGACACACGUGCUACAAUGGCCGGCACAACGGGAAGCGAGUUCGCGAGGACGAGCGGAUCCCUCAAAGCCGGUCGCAGUUCGGAUUGAAGUCUGCAACUCGACUUCAUGAAGCUGGAAUCGCUAGUAAUCGUGGAUCAGCCAAGCCGCGGUGAAUACGUUCCCGGGCCUU
rnacentral:rRNA from 1 species